rnacentral:lncRNA from 1 species
GAGAUGAUAAUCUUUCUACUCUCUUUGCAGAAUCUGACUUGGAUGGAUGUUAAAACAAACGCAGGUACAAGAGCAUGGGUUUGGCAACGGUGCAGUCGAAGGAGGAUAUAGUGAGGAUGAAGGUGAUGAGAGAGAUGAACAAGAGAGGAGCUAGGAGUCGUGUUAAGUUGGGAAUGAAGAGCAACGUCAUCAGAAACCUGCCCAACAACGUCACGUACUAGUCUCUCCAAACUAGUGUGCUGUCUGGAUUCUGUAAACGCUUUUUAAAUGGAACUUCUGUUGGUGGAGUGAAGUCUAGAACCUAAUAUGUGUUGAAGCUUUUGUUGAAUACGAGUUUGGUAGGUUGAAUGAUAGUGAAAUGAACUCGGUUUUAGUGGGUCUUACAAAGACGUUCUAUUCACAAUAUGAGGUAAACAGUCGAGGUUACAAAGAGAUUAGAGAAAGAAGGAAAAGGUCGGAGCUUUGUUGAAAGGCUCAGACAGAAACACUAAGCAAGGCGAUUGAUCGUAAACCCUAGAUCUUGCCGUCAAUCUCUUAGUGUCUAUUUGCGGAUCCCUUCCUUCCUUCCAUUCGUUCUCCUUUUAUAGGCUCUACAUGUCUCUCACUCGUUCGCCCUGGCAGUUUGGGCUUAAUUUGAUGUUUAAUGGGCUGUCCAUUUUUUUUUUUUUUUUUUGGUAACUAUUAGAUCCAAUGGUUGAUAGAAUAAUAUAUAAAUCCUCAUCAGUGUCCACUUUCGCCCUACGAGUAAAAAAACAUAACUCAGUCUAACACCGUGUAGGAAUAACUACUACAUUGCUCAAGUUAGCUUCCAUCCCCAUGUACCAGGUGGAAUUAUAUCUCAUCGAUGUUUGGUUUAUUAAUCCCUGCCUCGUAACCUAGAGUCAAUGCAGCUUGUGUAAACCCUACAAUACAAAGAUUACGAUUUAAACAGAAAUAAAGCAUUAAUUACCACAUAUAAGAUUUUUCAUGAACAACAAACUCAAGCUCUCAAGCGUUAGAAUUCACGAGUAGCAGGACAAAUUAGAAGAUGUAAAGGAUCAUGCACCAACAUUUGUCCAAAAAAAAAAGAAGAUAAUGCACCAAAGAUCCCGAAAACUACAGUUUGUUUUGUACAAUCAGAUGGUUGAGAAAAUCUGUGGUCGAGCCAACUUCUCCCAUGCCCCUAUAUGUCAUAGAACAAUCUCCUAUGAGCUUCUCAAAUCUUUUAUACCUUCAUUGCUUUAAUGAAAUAUAAAAAUUCAAUUUUGCCAUUUUUAUUUUCGAAAUUAUUAUUUUUUAAAAUAGAGAAUAAUUUCAAAUUUCUAAAAUUUUAAAUUUUUAAAAUUUCAAAAUUUCAAAUUUUUAAAAUUCGGUAUCGUAUAGUUUUACUUAGUUGUACUUUGUUCUACCAAGUAAUACUAAUGUUUGAGUUAUACUGAAUUAAUUUGUUAUACCGAAUUAUACUGGGUUGUAUUGAGUACUACUAAAAUGUAAUUAUACUGAAUUCUACUAAGUUAUACUAGUUAUACUGAGUUUCCCUAGUUAUACUAAGUUAUACUACAUACUACUAGUGAAUUAGAGCUAUAUUAAGUUAUACUAGUUAUACCGAAUUAUACUGGUAAUACUGCGUAUUACUAAUGUGUUAGGUAUACAUCGUUAUACUGAGUUAUUCAGAUCUGAAGAUGAAAUGAAUAAAAAACACGAAACAUACAAAAAUCCUUCAAAUAAAAAACAUGAAGAACCCUAAAAUAUAUAAAAAGAACCCAGAACAUGAAGAACCCUAAAAUAAAUAAAAAAAAACCAAAAUUUCUAGAAUUGUAGAUCUAGGAUUGUAGAUCCAUAAAUAUAGGCUUAAACGCUGCAUCUCAGUUAGGUUCACCACCUUCUCUUCUCCGUUUUCGUCACCUUCUUCAUCAUCACAUGAAGUUCUGAAUCACUGUAGAUUUGUUUUCGCUUUUGGUUUUCAGAUCUAAUUUCAUGGUUAAUUGAAAGAGAUAGAAGAAGGAACAAGAGAGAAGAAGAAUCUUUAUUAAUUGAUUUGACGGAUAAAAAGAUAGAAGAAAAAACAAGAGAAAGAGAAGUCGCGGAGAGGAAGAGAAGGAGAAGAAGUCGCAUAGAGAAAAAAAAAAAAAAAGAGGAACCAGUCGUUGAGAUAAGGAAAGAAAGAAGGAAAAAUAAAUAAAUAAAUAAAUAAAUAAAUAAGAAAUGAAACAUAUAUAUUUAGGGUUGGUUUUCAAAGAGCAAACAAGUAAUUAAUUUAAUUUUUGUAUUAAAAAUAAAUCAAAAAGAAAAUGAUUUUAGAUGAGGUCCUUGAGAGAUUGGCUUUUCACAUAUGGGAGUAAUAAAGGAGUUGUUUCGAAAUUCUGUGAGCUUGACACUUAUAUUUUCAACACUUUGAUUAAUGGGUUUAUGAAGUUGGAUCCAUCUUAGAAAAUUCUAAUGAAAAAUAUAUACAUUAGAUUUAAUUGGAAUUGUUAUUAUUAAUAGAUAAAGAGAUUAAUUAAUAAUUAAUAGCUUUCGCUUUUAUCCUAAUUAGAAAUUUUUCUUAUUGGAUAAUUAGGUACUAAUGUGUUUAAUAGGUUUCAUGUGCACUUAAUAAACCGUUACUAGCUUUCUGCUGGAAACUUAAAUGUAUCCCGAAACUUAGACAUUUUAUUUGGCAAAUUCUCUCCGGUACUAUUUCGGUGGCGAAACAUUUGAGGGCACGAGGUAUUGUGAUACACGAUGCAGUAUUUGUGGUGCCUAGGAAGAGUCAGUGAAUCAUGAUUUAUUUGAAUGCCCACCAGCUCUGCAAACAUGGGCUUUAUCAAAAAUCCCUUCAGCCCCUGGUAUUUUCCCCUCCGCUUCGGUGUUUAUUAAUAUGGAUUAUCUUUUCUGGAGAUUACCAAAAGAAUAUGAUUUUAACAACUUUCCAUGGAUAUUAUGGUACAUUUGGAAAAAUAGAAAUAAUAAAAAUUUUAAUAAUAGAGAUGGAAACCCUCAGGAAAUUCUUCGAAUUGCGGAAGCGGAGAGUGAGGUACGGGCGGAGGCUCAAAUAACAAUUCCAUAAAGGCAGUUUCAGGGUACACAAGCUUUUGACUGGCAAUCUUCGGGUCUCUCGAAGAUUUGUUUUAUAAAUGGUGUGUGGAAGGAGAAUGAUAAAUUCUACGGGCAGGGAUGGUUCUGCCGAGGCGUAGGAUCCGAAGAAAAGAUGAUGGGGGCGAUGAAUCUCCGAAGAAGCUUAUCAGCUCUACAUGCAGAAUGGGCCAUGGAGUGCAUGAAGACCCUUGAUUUUUCAGACGUAGUUUUUGCAACAGACUGUUCUCAACUGGUGAAGAUGGUGUCCUCACUUGACGAAUGACCAGCUUUUGCUACACACUUGGAGGAGUUUCGACGCAGUAAGAUUUUUUUUUCCUACCUUCAAGAUUCAACAUAUACCAAGAGCAACUAAUCUAGUGGCGGACAAGCUUGCACGAGGUGCUCGGAGUUUCCCUUCAGUUGUGUUCUAUGUUGAUUCCACCCCACCGGUUUGGUUUUCCGAGUUGGUAGGACAUUUAUCUUAGUUUAGUUAUUAUCCAUGUUCGAAAACGCGGCGGCUAGACCUGAGUACUCGCCGGAAAAACGGUCGGCGGGGUGAUGCCGCCGCGAUUAUGGUAAAAUCGGUUAAUAACUUGGAAUUUAAAAAAAACUCAGAUUUGUGUUCAUUGUCAGAUUGAAAUCAAAGAUUGAAUGAUAGAUUAGAGUAAUAUAGCUUAAAUCGUUCAAAAGAAACGUAGAAAAAGAAAAAACAAAUUCCGCAGGCGCGGUUUCGAACCACUGACCUGUUUUGUAAUUAUAAACAUAUUUAACCACUGAGCCGAGUGAUAUGCUUGUACAUUAAACGAAAGUAAAACUAUAUAUCCUUACAUGUUAGCAUAAUAGUUCUAAAAUUACUCCCCGAUUAAUCUCCGUGUAAUCCCCGAAUAACUGAUUAGGCGCUAGGGCCAGGUGAACCGAACGCGUUAUGCCUAGCGCAUUUUCGAACAUUGGUUAUAAUUGUUGUCAAAAACAAAAAAAAUAAAAAUAAAUUUAUCAACGAAAAGGCUUAACAAAUCAUUUUGAUGCAAUAGAAAAUAAAAUGAGUAUCACUUCAUAUGUUGAUAUCUUUUUAAUCAUCUGAUUAAUACAGUUUAGAAAGAUACAUAUACACACACAAAUAUAUGAUAAUUGAUAUUUCUAACUACUGGAUUAUUCUGUGUAUGUUAAGAAUGAAAUGUGAAAAUUUAACAGUUUAUGUUAUAAAAAUAAAAAUUGUAUGUUAUUUACAAGAUUGUGAAUCUUAAAAUAAACAUACAAUAUAUAAAAGAAUUUUUUUUUCUUAUUGUCAUAUCAAAAGUUUAGCACAUUUGUUUUGUUUAUAAUUAAUCUCACAAUUGAUAACGUUUGUAAAAGCAUUUAGAUUGUAAAGUCAAUAUUAUUGUCCUUUUGGCAAUGUUGUACUUGGGAGAGUGAGUAUUCAGCCGCUCAACCCAACAACCAAUCUGGUUCUGAUGUCACAAAGAACAAAAAGUAUCCAGGGUGCUUUUUUUGUUUAACCUUUACUUCUGAACAAAAAGGGCUAAAAAUAAGAAACGGGCCUGGAAUAGAGAGCCAAUUAAACUUUAAUUUGGGCCAAAUAUUAAAAUCUAAACGGAUCUUGACCCGACCCAUAAUACAUCACCUGGUAACGCAAAAACACAUAUUUAUCGUCGUUUCUUUAACCUUCUUCCCUCGACCGACCGACCUAUAUGAAGGAGAGCCGUCGCCGCAAAUCAAAUAUCUCAUCGCUAACCUCAGAGCUCCUGCCAGAGAGAGAUGUCAGGCUUAGCAUGUAACUCGUGUAACAAGGAGUUCGAAGACGACUCUGACCAGAAGCUCCACUACAAGUCAGAAUGGCACCGUUACAAUCUCAAGCGCAAGGUCAGUGAAACUCUUUGUGGUUUUUCUCUGUUAGGAGGUUUCGUUAGGGUUUUAUUUUUCAUGAUUUGAUUAUGAUGAUGUUGUUGUUGUUGUCGGAAAAUGUUUAGAUCGCUGGUGUUCCUGGAGUUACAGAAGCUUUGUUUGAAGCUAGACAAACUGCGAUUGCUCAGCAGAAGAUCAAAUCCAACGAAGCACCUCUGCUUUACACCUGUGGAGUCUGUAAUAAAUCUUACAGAAGCUCCAAAGCUCAUGAGCAGCAUCUCAAGUCAAAGAGCCACGUUCUCAAGGCUUCAAGCAGCAGCGGAGAUGAGGAUAAAGCCAUCAUCAAGGAGCUUCCUCCUCCUCCUCCUCGCUGUGUUGAGAAGAAGGGCCCUGCUAAGCUAAAGGGUUUGAUUGAGGAGGAGAGUGAAGAGAGUGAGGAUGAAUGGGUUGAGGUUGAUUCUGACGAGGACUUGGAGGGUGAAGAAGAUAUGGAUGAGGAUGAUGAUGAGGGUUCUGGUGAAGAUAUGGAUGAGGAUGAUGAUAUGGAGUUUGAGUUGGACCCCACUAGCUGUUUGAUGUGUGAUAAGAAGCAUAAGACGAUAGAGAAGUGUAUGGUUCAUAUGCAUAAGUUCCAUGGUUUCUUCAUUCCUGACAUCGAGUACCUCAAGGAUCCUAAAGGGUUUCUAACCUACGUUGGUCUAAAGGUAUGUAGUUUUGUUUUGUCCCAUCACUUUUAUGUUCAGACAGUUAAAAGAUCUUUGUCUCUUCUCACAGGUCAAGAGGGACUUCGUUUGUCUGUACUGCAACGAACUGCGCCAUCCAUUCACCAGUUUGGAAGCUGUUAGAAAGCACAUGGAAGCCAAGAGUCACUGCAAAGUGCAUUACGGUGACGGUGGUGACGAAGAAGAUGCAGAGCUGGAAGAGUUCUAUGACUACAGCAGCAGGUCUCUUUACGCUUCCUCUGUUUAGUAUCUUGUUAUCAUAGAAACUAUUGUUUAAUAUUGAGUGUGUGUGUUGUAUAGUUACGCCAAUGAAGGGGAGAAUCAGAUGGUUGUGUCUGGUGAAACAGCUAAUACCGUAGAGCUAUUUGGUGGGUCUGAGCUUGUGAUCACCAAGAGAGGGGAGAACAACAAAGUAACGUCGAGGACUCUUGGGUCUCGUGAGUUCAUGCGCUACUACAAACAGAAGCCGCCACCAUCUUCUCAGAAACACAUUGUCAACUCUCUAGCCAACAGGUUUGUCUUUGAGACCCAUCAGAGAUGAUAAUCUUUCUACUCUCUUUGCAGAAUCUGACUUGGAUGGAUGUUAAAACAAACGCAGGUACAAGAGCAUGGGUUUGGCAACGGUGCAGUCGAAGGAGGAUAUAGUGAGGAUGAAGGUGAUGAGAGAGAUGAACAAGAGAGGAGCUAGGAGUCGUGUUAAGUUGGGAAUGAAGAGCAACGUCAUCAGAAACCUGCCCAACAACGUCACGUACUAGUCUCUCCAAACUAGUGUGCUGUCUGGAUUCUGUAAACGCUUUUUAAAUGGAACUUCUGUUGGUGGAGUGAAGUCUAGAACCUAAUAUGUGUUGAAGCUUUUGUUGAAUACGAGUUUGGUAGGUUGAAUGAUAGUGAAAUGAACUCGGUUUUAGUGGGUCUUACAAAGACGUUCUAUUCACAAUAUGAGGUAAACAGUCGAG